rnacentral:lncRNA from 1 species
GUUUGGAAGCAGAAAGUUCAAAAGUGAGGAGCUUGUGAGUUUCACGAAUUCGACUCAAAUGAGAAGCUUACGAGUUUCACGAAUUCGACUCUUUAUAGUCGUGAGUGAGAGUUUGAAUGAUUUUGCAAUUUGAAGUGCCAGAAUAAAAACGUAAUGAAUUUAGAAUUUGAGAUUUUGAAAACUAAGUAGGUUCUUAAGUUUUACACUUUUUACAUCAGU